GACCCAGAACCGUGAGGAACGGCCCCUUGCGGAUCGGGCAAUUCAUUUAAAGGAG
rnacentral:ncRNA from 1 species